CCACUCUCACAAUCCGACCUAGCUCCCUCUUUAAACCAAAAUGACCCCGUUUUGUCACUUCUAAUCUUCACCCUCCGUCUCCUUUGAUCCAAGGGCCAGAAACUCCUCGUCCAAUUCCGUAAAAUGGUUUGAACCGGCCCCCCAAACCCUAGAGACAUUUCCAUUCUUCAUCUUCCUCACACCCUCUCAAACCCUAGCCGCCUCUCACCACCAAAACCCACCUCCACCGGCGGCUCACCACCAAAUCACUCCAAAUCUUCACCCUACAACCCCCAGCUUUCCCCCAUCACUAAUCUCCCACUAGUUUCCCCAAAAUCCUCACCAAGGCCGACGAAUCUCAAAUCUAAAAUUACCAAAAACUUUAUUCCUCUCCUUUCCUGAUUUCUUUUGGUUUUUAAUCCGUUUUAGAUCAAAAAUUGCACCAAUCAACCCCAUUCACUGAGUACCAUAGAUUGUGGGUGUUUCUACCUCGUCUCAUAGCCAUUCAAGCUCGGUCAAAUUCUUGUUGACCACCCAAAACCUUAGUAUUUGUCCACCAGCCUUCUUUCUCAUGUUCAAGACUUCAAUUCUUCAAGAUUUUUGGCUUAUGAAGUGUCUAUCAGAUUUAGUUUAACGCAAUGCUCAUAGGUCUAAAGUCUCCGAUGUUUUGAAGACUUAAACACAUGGAGCUUCGUUCUUCUAUUCUUGCUUUUGAUCUCAUUAGCAUGAAGUUCGAUUCAAAUAUAUUCCUAAUAUGUUGCUAAGUAGUAUUUAAUAGCAAAGUCAUGAUGUGGAAGGCUCCUAUUGCGACAACUAUGGCUGUAGUUCAUUGAUCUGGCCAUUAAUUGGUCAAUAUCUGCAAACCUCAAAGCCAAAACGGAUUAUCGGAGGAGUUCAGAGCCAUUGUAGAUUGUUUAGCAUAGAAGUAUAAAUAUCUCAUUGUGGUUUGUACUAUUAAUUUGGAAUGAGAUGUAUUGUAUAGUUUGAUCAAAGCAGACAUGGCAGUAAUGUCAAAAUUUAUAUGUGUUAAGACUUGAAUGUUUGCUUAAAGGCAAUAAUGUUUCUUGA